ensembl:scaRNA
UGGUCCGUGAUGAGGAGCCCACUGCGCAAUCCGAGCUGCUGGCAACAGCAUGAUGGAAAUAGUGUUGAGGAAAGCACCUGAGACCA